AAUUAUACCGUGAAACUGCGAAUGGCUCAUUAAAUCAGUUAUCGUUUAUUUGAUUAUACCUUACUACUUGGAUAACCGUGGUAAUUCUAGAGCUAAUACAUGCUGAAAAUCGCGACUUCGGAAGCGAUGUGUUUAUUAGAUAAAAAACCAAUGCCCUUCGGGGCUACUUGGUGAUUCAUGAUAAAUUUACGGAUCGCAUAGCCUUGCGCUGGCGACGGUUCAUUCAAAUUUCUGCCCUAUCAACUUUCGAUGGUAAGGUAUUGGCUUACCAUGGUUUCGACGGGUAACGGGGAAUUAGGGUUCGAUUCCGGAGAGGGAGCCUGAGAAACGGCUACCACAUCCAAGGAAGGCAGCAGGCGCGCAAAUUACACAAUGGCUAUCCGCCGAUGUAGUGACAAUAAAUACUGAUACAGGGCUCUUUUGGGUCUUGUAAUUGGAAUGAGUACAAUUUAAACCUCUUAACGAGGAACAAUUGGAGGGCAAGUCUGGUGCCAGCAGCCGCGGUAAUUCCAGCUCCAAUAGCGUAUAUUAAAGUUGUUGCAGUUAAAAAGCUCGUCGUUGAAACUUGGGCCUGGCUGGCGGGUCCGCCUCACCGCGUGCACUCGUCCGGCCGGGCCUUCCUUCUGAAGAACCUCAUGCCCUUCACUGGGCGUGUUGGGGAAUCAGGACUUUUACUUUGAAAAAAUUAGAGUGUUCAAAGCAGGCCUUUGCUCGAAUACGUUAGCAUGGAAUAAUAAAAUAGGACAGCGUUUCUAUUUUGUUGGUUUCUAGGAACGCCGUAAUGAUUAAUAAGGGACUGUUGGGGGCAUUAGUAUUCAGUAGUCAGAGGUGAAAUUCUUGGAUUUACUGAAGACUAACUACUGCGAAAAGCAUUUGCCAAAGAUGUUUUCAUUAAUCAGUGAACGAAAAGUUAGGGGAUCGAAGAACGAUCAGAUACCGUCGUAGUCUUAACCCGUAAAACAAUGGCCGACUAGGGAUCGGGCGAUGUUCUUUUUCUGACUCGCUCGGCACCUUACGAAAAAAUCAAAGUUUUUGGGGUCUG
rnacentral:rRNA from 1 species